rnacentral:rRNA from 1 species
GAUGAACGCUGGCGGCGUGCUUAACACAUGCAAGUCGAGCGAUGAAGCGCAGCUUGCUGGGCGCAUUAGUGGCGAACGGGUGAGUAACUCGUGAGUAACUUGCCCUUAUCUCUGGGAUAAGCCAGGUCAACUGGGUCUAAUUCCGGCUGGGAGCGACCACCGCAUGGAGGGUGUUGGAAAGAUUUAUCGGUUUUGGAUGGACUCGCGGCCUAUCAGCUUCUUGGUGAGGAAUUGGCUCACUAAGGCGACGACGGGUCGCCGGCCUGGGAGCGUGACCGGCGUCCCUGGGACUGAGACACGGCCCAGAAUCCUACGGGAGGCAGUGGUGGGGAGUAUGGCACAAUGGGCGCAAGCCUGAUGCAGCGACGCCGCGAGAGUGAUAACGGCCUACGGGUUGUAAACCUCUUUCAGUAGGGAAAAAGCGAAAGUGACGGUACCUGCAGAAGAAGCACCGGCUAACUACGUG